rnacentral:rRNA from 1 species
AUUGAACGCUGGCGGCAUGCCUUACACAUGCAAGUCGAACGGUAACGGGCCUUCGGGUGCCGACGAGUGGCGAACGGGUGAGUAAUACAUCGGAACGUGCCCGAUCGUGGGGGAUAACGAGGCGAAAGCUUUGCUAAUACCGCAUACGAUCUACGGAUGAAAGCCGGGGACCGCAAGGCCUUGCGCGGACGGUGCGGCCGAUGGCAGCUUAGGUAGUUGGUGGGAUAAAAGCUUACCAAGCCGACGAUCUGUAGCUGGUCUGAGAGGAUGAUCAGCCACACUGGGACUGAGACACGGCCCAGACUCCUACGGGAGGCAGCAGUGGGGAAUUUUGGACAAUGGGCGCAAGCCUGAUCCAGCCAUGCCGCGUGCAGGAUGAAGGCCUUCGGGUUGUAAACUGCUUUUGUACGGAACGAAAAGCCUUCUUUUAAUACAGGAGGGUCAUGACGGUACCGUAAGAAUAAGCACCGGCUAACUACGUG